rnacentral:rRNA from 1 species
GAUGAACGCUGGCGGCGUGCCUAAUACAUGCAAGUCGAGCGAACAGACGAGGAUGUUUGCCCUCUCUCAUUAUCGGCGCAGGGGUGAGAAUCACGUGUGUAAACUCUAUAUAAGACUGUGAUAUCAUCUGGAAACACGAGCUAAUACACGAUAUAAUAUUGAACUUCAUGGUUAGAUAUUGAAAAACGGAUUUGCUCUGUCUUAUAUAUGUAUCCGCGCCGCAUUAGCUGGUUGUGGAGGUAACGGCUUACCAAGGCAACGCUACAUAGCCGACCUGAGAGGGUGAUCGGCCACACUGGAACUGAGACACGGCCCAGACUCCUACGGGAGGCAGCAGUAGGGAAUCUUCCGCAAUGGGCGAAAGUCUGACGGAGCAAUGCCGCGUGAGUGAAGAAGGUUUUCGGAUCGUAAAACUCUGUUAUAAGGGAAGAACAAGUAUGUUAGUAACUGAACGCACCUUGACGGUACCUAAUCAGAAAGCCACGGCUAACUACGUG